GACGAACCGUGCGAACGUUAUUCGGAAUCACUGGGCUUAAAGCGCGUGUAGGCGGGAGGGCACGUCCGUCGCUGAAAUCCCCCGGCUCAACCGGGGAACGGGCGCGGAUACGACCUUCCUCGAGGGACGUAGGGGGACCUGGAACUUCCGGUGGAGCGGUGAAAUGCGUUGAGAUCGGAAGGAACGCCCGUGGCGAAAGCGAGGUCCUGGACGUUAUCGUGACGCUGAGACGCGAAAGCCAGGGGGAGCGAACGGG
rnacentral:rRNA from 1 species